GAGUUUGAUCCUGGCUCAGAUUGAACGCUGGCGGCAUGCUUUACACAUGCAAGUCGAGCGGCAGCGCGGGGCAACCUGGCGGCGAGCGGCGAACGGGUGAGUAAUGCAUCGGAACAUGUCCAUGUCGUGGGGGAUAGCCCGGCGAAAGCCGGAUUAAUACCGCAUACGCCCGAGAGGGGAAAGUGGGGGACCGCAGGGCCUCACGCGAUUGGGUUGGCCGAUGUCCGAUUAGCUAGUUGGCGGGGUAAAGGCCCACCAAGGCGAUGAUCGGUAGCUGGUCUGAGAGGAUGAUCAGCCACACUGGGACUGAGACACGGCCCAGACUCCUACGGGAGGCAGCAGUGGGGAAUUUUGGACAAUGGGGGCAACCCUGAUCCAGCCAUUCCGCGUGAGUGAAGAAGGCCUUCGGGUUGUAAAGCUCUUUUGUCCGGAACGAAACGCGGCGCGUGAAUAUCGCGCCGUAAUGACGGUACCGGAAGAAUAAGCACCGGCUAACUACGUACCAGCAGCCGCGGUAAUACGUAGGGUGCGAGCGUUAAUCGGAAUUACUGGGCGUAAAGCGUGCGCAGGCGGUUUUGUAAGCCAGAUGUGAAAUCCCCGGGCUUAACCUGGGAAUGGCAUUUGGGACUGCAAGGCUGGAGUGCGGCAGAGGAGACUGGAAUUCCUGGUGUAGCAGUGAAAUGCGUAGAUAUCAGGAGGAACACCGAUGGCGAAGGCAGGUCUCUGGGCUGACACUGACGCUCAUGCA
rnacentral:rRNA from 1 species